rnacentral:rRNA from 1 species
GAACGAACUCUGGGUAUUGAUUGAUGCUUGCAUCAUGAUUUACAUCCUGAGUGAGUGGCGAACUGGUGAGUAACACGUGGGAAACCUGCCCAGAAGCGGGGGAUAACACCUGGAAACAGAUGCUAAUACCGCAUAACAACUUGGACCGCAUGGUCCGAGUUUGAAAGAUGGCUUCGGCUAUCACUUUUGGAUGGUCCCGCGGCGUAUUAGCUAGAUGGUGAGGUAACGGCUCACCAUGGCAAUGAUACGUAGCCGACCUGAGAGGGUAAUCGGCCACAUUGGGACUGAGACACGGCCCAAACUCCUACGGGAGGCAGCAGUAGGGAAUCUUCCACAAUGGACGAAAGUCUGAUGGAGCAACGCCGCGUGAGUGAAGAAGGGUUUCGGCUCGUAAAACUCUGUUGUUAAAGAAGAACAUAUCUGAGAGUAACUGUUCAGGUAUUGACGGUAUUUAACCAGAAAGCCACGGCUAACUACGUGCCAGCAGCCGCGGUAAUACGUAGGUGGCAAGCGUUGUCCGGAUUUAUUGGGCGUAAAGCGAGCGCAGGCGGUUUUUUAAGUCUGAUGUGAAAGCCUUCGGCUCAACCGAAGAAGUGCAUCGGAAACUGGGAAACUUGAGUGCAGAAGAGGACAGUGGAACUCCAUGUGUAGCGGUGAAAUGCGUAGAUAUAUGGAAGAACACCAGUGGCGAAGGCGGCUGUCUGGUCUGUAACUGACGCUGAGGCUCGAAAGUAUGGGUAGCAAACAGGAUUAGAUACCCUGGUUAGUCCAUACCGUAAACGAUGAAUGCUAAGUGUUGGGAGGGUUUCCGCCCUUCAGUGCUGCAGCUAACGCAUUAAGCAAUUCCGGCCUGGGGAGUACGGCCGCAAGGCUGAAACUCAAAGGAAUUGACGGGGGCCCGCACAAGCG